GACGAACGCUGGCGGCGUGCUUAACACAUGCAAGUCGAACGAAAAGGCCCUGCUUUUGUGGGGUUCUCGAGUGGCGAACAGGUGAGUGACACAUGAGUAUCCUCCCCUUAUCUUUGUGGUAACUUCUCGAAACUGCGGCUCAUACCGGAUAGGAUCUCCUGCUGCAUGUUGUGGGUUGGAAAGUUUCGGCUGUUGGGGAUGGACUCGCGGCUUAUCAGCUUGUUGGUGUGGUAGUGGCUUACCAAGGCUUUGACGGGUAGCCGGCCUGGGAGGGUGACCGGCCUCAUUGGGACUGAGAUACGGCCCAGACUCCUACGGGAGGCAGCAGUGGGGAAUAUUGCACAAUGGGCGGAAGCCUGAUGCAGCAACGCCGCGUGCGGGAUGACGGCCUUCGGGUUGUAAACCGCUUUCGCCUGUGACGAAGCGUGAGUGACGGUAAUGGGUAAAGAAGCAACGGCUAACUACGUG
rnacentral:rRNA from 1 species